AGUAGAGACAGGGUUUCACCAUGUUGGCCAGGAUGGUCUCAAUCUCUUGACCUUGUGAUCUGCCUGCCUCAACCUCCCAAAGUGCUGGAAUUACAAGUGUGAGCCACUGCGCCCAGCCCCAUUUCUUAUUUGGUCUGGCCAUCUUCUAAAGAGUUUGAACCUACUGAAGAACUAUCUUGACUGUCUUGAUGAGGGAGCUGAAGAAAUCCUUCACUGGAGUCUGAGCGGAAGUGGAAUCUAUUUUCCUUCUUCUUGAAUUUGGAAUGCUUUUGGCCAAGAGAAAGAGGUGGAAGUGAUGGUCUAACAGUUCCAAGUCUAGGCCUCAAGUUGCCUGUGGACUUCCACUCAGACUCUCAGAGCCCUGCUGGAGGAUGGAGAGACCACAUGGGACAGAGAACGGUUAUCCCACCGAGGCCACCAUAGACCAGCCAGCCCUCAGCGUACAUGCCAGCUAAUUACAGAUGCAGGAGCAAACCCCUGGCCCAUACAUCAGUGAGUAGAUUAGCAUAGAUGCUCAGCAAACUCAGACUCAUUAGGCAAAAAGAAAUGUUUACUGUCCAUUACCACUAAGGUUCUCUCGUUGUUAAAGAGCAUUAUCAGUGUCCAUAGACAACUGAUAAAGCAUAUAUAAAGAAAAGAGAACAAUUUUUUUUGUUUGUUUGUUAGAUGGAGUUUCGCUCUUUCGCC
rnacentral:antisense_RNA from 1 species